rnacentral:rRNA from 1 species
CCUACGGGUGGCAGCAGUGAGGAAUAUUGGUCAAUGGACGCAAGUCUGAACCAGCCAUGCCGCGUGCAGGAAGACGGCUCUAUGAGUUGUAAACUGCUUUUGUACGAGGGUAAACGCAGAUACGCGUAUCUGUCUGAAAGUAUCGUACGAAUAAGGAUCGGCUAACUCCGUGCCAGCAGCCGCGGUAAUACGGAGGAUUCAAGCGUUAUCCGGAUUUAUUGGGUUUAAAGGGUGCGUAGGCGGUCGGAUAAGUUAGAGGUGAAAUCCCGAGGCUCAACUUCGGAACUGCAUCUGAUACUGGUCGGCUAGAGAGUAGUAGAGGUAGGUAGAAUGUAUGGUGUAGCGGUGAAAUGCUUAGAGAUCAGACAGAACACCGAUUGCGAAGGCAGCUUAC